CACCCUUCCCUCUCCCCGUCGUGUGUGUUGGACGCUGUAGGUCCCGUCCCCGGUCAGGGCUCCGUCCACGUCUGUUUCCCCCAAAGGGGGCUCUGCCAGGGCCGCCUCCUCCAGGAAGCCCUCCUCUGCAUCCUUGAUUCAGGGCCGCCUCCUCCAGGAAGGCCUCCUCUCCAUCCUUGAUUCAGGGCCACCUCCUCCAGGAAGCCCUCCUCUCCAUCCUUGAUUCAGGGCCGCCUCCUCCAGGAAGUCCUCCUCUCCAUCCUUCCCUUCAUCACACCUGCAAAGACCGUCUGUGAUGGGCUGAACUGUGUCCCCCAAAUUCACAGGUCGGGGUCCUGACCCCCAGGGCCUCAGGAUGGGGCUGUGUUUGGAGACGGGUCUUUAAGGAGGGGAUGGAGGUCAAAUGAGGCAUCCGGGGUCAGGACAUGGACGGGACUCUUGGGGGCACAGUUUGCACUCAUAACCACAUGGAAGCCGCGGGCCCCUUUCUGGCACCACGGUCCCCUCACUUCCAUCCGAGGGCCCACCCCGAGCUGCCCUCCUCGCUGUGGCUGCUGCGAUGUCCCCCCAGACGGCCCUGGUGUGGCGGCUCCCAGCGUCCAGCAGCUCGAGUCCAAAGGCCGCCUGGAGGCAGAAUUCCUUCUUCCUUGGAGAUAGGAGUCUUUUGUCUUGGGGGCCUUCGACUGAUUAGACGAGGCCCACCCACCCUUCCGUGCUGUGUUCCCCCGCUGGACUCAGUUUCCCCUCACGUUCCCCUGUCCUGGCUGCUAGACUCUGAGCCCCCUGCCCCAGCUGUUCUUGCGGGUUGCCUGUCCAGCCCCUGCGGCAAAGAGCUCACUAUUUGCCCCAAAUCUUUUAAUGCAAUAGGUUUUUUUUUUUUUUUUUUUAAUCGAAAUUAUUGCAAAAACUCCAGGAUGGACGCAGGAUCAAAUUCAAGCACCGAGGGGGUGGGACACCCACGCUGCAGCCCUGGAGGGAGCGAAGGACGGGGUGCAAGGGGGUCCCUCCACUGCUGGGCGGACGCGCCUCCCCAGGGCCGCCCGGCCGCGCCCCCUUCCCGCUGGGCCUGGCUGGGGACCACUGGCGGGGAGGGGAGGCCCCCCGAGUCCUUUGAAAUCCCUCCCGCGGCCGGGGGUCCUGCGCCCUGGCCAGACCAGAGGGCUCCCCGCGUCGGCGCUCAAGGCCCAGUGUCCUUUUGGGGGGAGCAGGGGGGUGGGCGCGCAGGUGGCGGCCGUCCCCAGGCGCACGGUGCUCCACGUGCCGGCCUCCUCCACAUCCGGGGCCCCCGCGGAAGCGCCUGCGGCUGGGGUGAAACCACCCUCCUGGGCCCCCCACCCCCACCCCAGGCCCGGCCCGACGCGCCCCCUGCGCCCCCUUUCCCUAGUGUGCGACCCCGAGGAGGAGGGCGCGCGCCUCCGCGUCUGGCUGACCGCCUCGCUGACCGCGCUGGGCCCGCUGCUCGCGCUGGGGCUCCUCGUCCUGAUCUGCAGAAAGUGAGCGCCCCGCGGCCCCGGGUUCGAGCCCUGGCUUCCCGGGGGGGUCCCCACGCACACCGGACGCUGCGCCUUUCCCCACCCCCCUGCGUGCGCACCCCCGCCCGUCCCGGGCCUCCCGGGGCCGCAAGGGUCAUUCUGCAACCCCAUCCUGGACCCCACAAGGCAGCAUCCCGGGGGCGCCCACCCCCUUCCUCCCUCCCUGAACCGCGAGCACCCGUGGGGGCUGCAGCCAGGCUCACCCUGCUUGCCCCCACUGUUUGCCCCCUUGCGCAGACUCCCUGGCCCCCAGCAUCCUUCAGGACGUGGCUCUGGGGGGGGGGUCCUUCCCCACCCAGCGGGCGGCAGGCCAGCGACUUGCAUUGUGACAGACUCCUCGGUGAUGCCAGCCCUGCCCUGGCCUUGGGGUGUUUCUCGGGGUGCUCACCUGGUGGCCCCCACCCUCCCAGCCCCUUCAGGCUGCCCAAGGCUGGGCUUUAGGAGUGGGUGGGACCCCCGCGCCCCGAGCUGGGACAACGGGCUUUGUGAGGCAGCUGUCUGGAGGGCACGUUGCCGUGAUGACAAGGGCCUGGGGCCGCCCCCAUCUUUAUAGGGUCUCUGGCAGGGGGAUGGGGUCAAGGAGGUUUAGCUCGCGCCAAGACUAUGAUUACUCGCUCGGGCGUUGUCUAGGCUCUGGGGGCCGGACACUACAGACCCCUCGGGGGGGAGGGUCGAGUCCUGCCUCCGGCCUGGCGUGGCCGUGGCCCUCCUGCGGACGCCGCGUGCGCCCCGCGCGGGCUCGCUGCUGCCGGUUGCUGAGUUGGGGACGCCUGUCUCCCCCCAGGUACUCGCUGAUGCGGAAGAUCUUCCCGCCCAUCCCUCACAUGAAAGACCCCCUGAGUGACAGCCUGCAGAACAAGCUGGGAGAAGAGGCCGAUGUGCGGAAUGUCCCACAGGGCACCCCCCGGGGGCCAGCUGGAGAUGUUUGCGAGGCGCUAACGAAGUGGGGGGCGGGGGGCCCAGGGCAGGCACGGGCCACGUGAUGGGAUGCACCGCUGGGCUCCCGGGUGAGUUGAGGCUCCGAGGGUGGAUGGAGGGGGGUCCGGGGGCUCGGGGCGGGCGGGAGGGAAGUGCAGAGAGCGGAGGCGUGUUUGCUGAAAGGUUUCGCGGCAGGGAAGCUCAGAUGUCCCAGGGCCCCCAAGUUUCUGUUUCUCUUCCCCAUCCAUGGGGGGGGGGGGGGGGGGGGGCCUUGGCACAGGCCAGGCUGCAGAUGGGCUCUCGGGGGCCCGGUUUCCUUCCUGCCUCUUCCCAGCGGGAGACCACAGCAUCUCCUCCCCACCCCCAGAACCUUAAGAGUUGGGGUUAGUGCAAAGUCCAGAGGGUGGCCUCUCACCCCAUUGUUCACACCCCAAUAAGCUGCUCGGUUCAAAAACAGACCAACACCCGGGCCACCCGGGGUUCACGGGCUC